rnacentral:rRNA from 1 species
UGCCAGGUUACAAAUCUGGCUGUCGAGAUGCCUAAAAAGCAUUUCAUAGCAAGGGCCGGGCAAGACCGGUGCCAGCCGCCGCGGUAACACCGGCGGCUCGAGUGGUAACCGUUAUUAUUGGGUCUAAAGGGUCUGUAGCCGGCCGGAUAAGUCUCUUGAGAAAUCUGGCAGCUUAACUGUCAGGCUUUCAGGAGAUACUGUCUGGCUCGAGGCCGGGAGAGGUGAGAGGUACUUCAGGGGUAGGGGUGAAAUCUUGUAAUCCCA